UACGAAGGGUGCAAGCGUUACUCGGAAUUACUGGGCGUAAAGCGUGCGUAGGUGGUUUUUUAAGUCCGUUGUGAAAGCCCUGGGCUCAACCUGGGAAUGGCAGUGGAUACUGGAAAGCUAGAGUGCGGUAGAGGGUAGUGGAAUUCCCGGUGUAGCAGUGAAAUGCGUAGAGAUCAGGAGGAACACCGGUGGCGAAGGCGGGUCUCUGGGCCGAUACUGACGCUGAGGAGCGAAAGCGUGGGGAGCGAACAGG
rnacentral:rRNA from 1 species